rnacentral:rRNA from 1 species
CCUACGGGGUGCAGCAGUGAGGAAUAUUGGUCAAUGGACGAGAGUCUGAACCAGCCAAGUAGCGUGAAGGAUGACUGCCCUAUGGGUUGUAAACUUCUUUUAUAUGGGAAUAAAAUGUUCCACGUGUGGGAUUUUGUAUGUACCAUAUGAAUAAGGAUCGGCUAACUCCGUGCCAGCAGCCGCGGUAAUACGGAGGAUCCGAGCGUUAUCCGGAUUUAUUGGGGUUAAAGGGAGCGUAGGUGGAUUGUUAAGUCAGUUGUGAAAGUUUGCGGCUCAACCGUAAAAUUGCAGUUGAAACUGGCAGGCUUGAGUACAGUAGAGGUGGGCGGAAUUCGUGGUGUAGCGGUGAAAUGCUUAGAUAUCACGAAGAACUCCGAUUGCGAAGGCAGCUCACUGGACUGCAACUGACACUGAGGCUCGAAAGUGUGGGUAUCAAACAGGAUUAGAUACCCGAGUAGUC